rnacentral:misc_RNA from 1 species
AGAGACGGAGGCAUCAGACGAGAGAGGGCAUCUGGGCAUGUAUCAAUGAUGGAAGAAAACCAAGAAGGCAAAGAAGUGACCAAAGCAGAAACAGAACAACCAGAAGAACUAAAAUUGCAGCAGCGAGUGUGGAGUUGGGGAGCAGGAACUGACGGCCAGCUGGGCACAGGCAAGCUUGAGGACGAGCAUCUCCCUCAAGUCCUUCACCUUACUCCUCUCUCCUCCGCUGCACCCAUCUCCACGCUUGCCUGCGGCGGCGCUCACGUUAUUGCUUUGAGCUCUGCUGGGAAAGUACUGACAUGGGGCAGAGGAACAUCUGGUCAGCUAGGCCAUGGAGAAAUGCUCAGUAGCUUACAUCCAAAGCCCGUUAAUUUCUUGGAUGGUUAUGUUAUAACAAAUGUCUCUGCUGGAUGGAGCCACUCUGGGUUUGUUUCAGACACAGGCUCACUUUUGACUUGUGGGGAUGGCUCAUUUGGUCAGCUUGGGCAUGGCGAUUACAAGUCACAUAGUAUUCCUGUUAAAGUCUCAUAUUUUGUUAAUAGGCACGUUGAGCGGAUAGCAUGUGGCAUGCGACAUUCACUUGUCUUGUUGAAAGAUUGUUCGAGAAAACAAAUUUAUGGUUUCGGUUCUGGAAAGCGUGGUCAAUUGGGUAUCUCCAAAGAUAAGGUUAAAUCAAUUAGUGUUCCCCAAGUUAUCUGUGGGGUAGAAGGCAUUGAAAUAAUUAGCAUUUGUGCGAAUGGAGAUCACAGUGCUGCAUUAUCUGGUGAGUGUGUCCAUAUUUUCUGUUGAGAAUCAUGGAUCCUGGAGUAUGGAUCCAUCAAAACAGGCCAGCCUCUGCUGGAAUUGGCUCCUCAUCACCAAAAUGGCCUAAACCAUUUUGGUUUGGUUUGCUUCGCUUCACUUUAUAAAGCCCUCAUUUUCAUCACACAAAACUGAUGUAGGAUUUGUUCGAAAUCUCUAUAUCCCAACGUUAUCUUCUUCUUCACACUGCAAUAAAGACAGAACAUUGAAUCUCACACAUAAUUUUUUUUAACCUCUGGUUCACUUAUUGAAGCAAUUUUAUAGUGCAAGAUUGUGUCGAUCAUAUGCUAUUUAUGUCUUUUAUUUUAAAUUAAUUUUUGUUCGUAUUCAUGUUUCAUCUUGCUGGAUACAUCAGCUGAUGGCGAUCUGUAUGUUUGGGGAAGAGGGUUUACUGGCACUUCUGAUGUUCUUACCCCUCAGCAUUUGGUUUCACCUUUGAAGUUUAGUAGAGUUGCUCUCGGAUGGAAUCAUGCAUUAGUAUUGACUGAUGGUGGUGAAGUUUUUAUCCUUGGUGGUGAUCGCCAUGGAGUGCUUAGUGAUCUUGAGAAAAUAAACCUGCAGAAGCAUUUAGAUUCAACUCAUGCUGUUUUGAAUAGUGUCUCUGGUCUCGAUGGGACAAAAGUUGUGGAGAUUGCAGCUGGAGCAGAGCAUUCUGCUUUAUUGACAGGCAAUAUUUAAUUUACUAGAAAGUUAUAUCUUCCUUUCUUGUUUCUUGGAUUUGGUCAUGAGCUUCUUUGUUGAUGCUGUUCUAAUCACAGUGGAUGGAGCAAUAAAGACAUGGGGAUGGGGUGAACAUGGUCAACUUGGUUUGGGGAACACAAGUGACCAAAUCAACCCUCAAACAGUGAGUCUAGGCCACCAAGCUCAGAACCAAGAAGACGCGUUGAAAGUUUACUGUGGCAGUGGAUUUACAUUUGUUUUAAGGUCACUUUUCGUUGUCUAACCUGUCUGAAUUUAAAGAUAGUGAAAAAUGGAUUUGCCAGUACAGCAUGUAACACUAACCAAACUUUUGAGGACGAUUCGCCAACCAUUGACAAGUUUAGUCCAUUGACAAGUUUAUUAUUAUCGUCAUUUAGAUCACAGGCUUCCAACCUAGAUGCUUGAAGGUAGACUAUUUUUACAUUUUUUUAAGACUCAUUUUAUCAUUUUU